rnacentral:rRNA from 1 species
AUUGAACGCUGGCGGCAGGCCUAACACAUGCAAGUCGAGCGGAUGAAGGGAGCUUGCUCCUGGAUUCAGCGGCGGACGGGUGAGUAAUGCCUAGGAAUCUGCCUGGUAGUGGGGGAUAACGUCCGGAAACGGGCGCUAAUACCGCAUACGUCCUGAGGGAGAAAGUGGGGGAUCUUCGGACCUCACGCUAUCAGAUGAGCCUAGGUCGGAUUAGCUAGUUGGUGGGGUAAAGGCCUACCAAGCCGACGAUCCGUAACUGGUCUGAGAGGAUGAUCAGUCACACUGGAACUGAGACACGGUCCAGACUCCUACGGGAGGCAGCAGUGGGGAAUAUUGGACAAUGGGCGAAAGCCUGAUCCAGCCAUGCCGCGUGUGUGAAGAAGGUCUUCGGAUUGUAAAGCACUUUAAGUUGGGAGGAAGGGCAGUAAGUUAAUACCUUGCUGUUUUGACGUUACCAACAGAAUAAGCACCGGCUAACUUCGUG